rnacentral:rRNA from 1 species
UACAGAGGUCUCAAGCGUUGUUCGGAUUCAUUGGGCGUAAAGGGUGCGUAGGUGGCGUGGUAAGUCGGGUGUGAAAUCUCGGAGCUUAACUCCGAAACUGCAUUCGAUACUGCCGUUGCUUGAGGACUGGAGAAGAGACUGGAAUUUACGGUGUAGCGGUGAAAAUGCGUAGAUAUCGUAAGGAAGACCAGUGGCGAAGGCGGGUCUCUGGACAGUUCCUGACGCUGAGGCACGAAGGUCAGGGGGAGCAAACGGG